UCAUAUUAAUGAGGUUUGCAGAGACCAGGAGGCCAAAUUCUUAAUUUACUCUAAGAAAUAUAAGAUCAAACAAUAGGACAGCCCAGUCUCUUCCUGUGCAAAUGCUACAUGCAAUGCUGUGGUUUUUUGCAUUAUUUGUUCACAAUUCUUCCCACUUUUACCAUGAUUGACUGAGGACAGAAUAUACUUACCUGCCCCCAUGACUUUGGGCUUGGCCCUGUGACCUGACAUGGCCAGUGGAAUACAAGGGGAACACUGUACAAAACAUCCAGUUUUGAGCUUUAAAUGUGCACGUGUGAUUUGGCUUCAUGUGUUCUCCUGCCCUGAGUAAUGAGAAGAGCAUGCCCAAGAAGCCAUGGUCCUCCAUCCUGAGUCCUGGAAUGAGAGACACCCAGAACAGAUCUUAACCCAACCUGAAGACUGAAAUAGAGCAACCACAGCCAACCCAAAGAUCUAUGAGCAAGAAACAAAUGUUUGUGGUUGAAAGCUUCAUUGCUGGUUGUGGAGCAUUAAGCAACAAUGACUGGCCAAUACUGAUGCCAAGUAAUAAUCAGAAUGACACUGCUUGAGCAUGGGAUGGGAUCAGAUGGCUCAAGGCCUGAGCCUCAUUUAUCUACUCCAUGGGGACACAUCUGCCACCUGGUCCAGACGGGACGAGUCCUUUCUUCUGAUCACCUUCUUUCCUGACUCUUGGCAUUGGAAAAACUUCGUGGUCUCUGGUGAAUUUGACUUCAAUCAUCUGCCUUCAGGAUGGAAACCCAGGCCUUAGGAAGAGCCAAUCAGAGCAUUUCUUUCCCUGGAUAUGUUGACUGGGUCCGGAGCAAACAAUGAUCUAAGAUGGUCCUAUCAGAGCGAAUCUCAGGACUUUUGUUCAGAGGGCUGGGAUAAGGGCAUUCUUUAUCUCUCUUUUUUCAAGAUGAAAUAUGCAAGGUGAAGUAUGCAGAUAGCAGGCCCAGAAAUUCAGCAGCCGUUUUUGCACAAAGAGGGUGGCUUUGUCUGAGGACAAAGCUGACACAUGGAAGAGUCCAGAGGCCAGAGACUGCAGAGGAAUUUGCAGAGAUUUUCAGAGGACAUGCUGAACCUCUUGGUCAAACUGUACCCAUAGCAGAACUAUCACUGGCCUUUUCAGUUUGGUGAAAAAAUACAUUUUUUAAAUACUUAAGCCAGUGAGGGUCAGAUUUUAUGUUACUUAAAAUGGAAAACAUUCUAACUAUAUGAGUCAGCUUCUGCUGAAUAACAAAACACCCCCAAAUUCAGUGACUUAUUAAAAAUAAAUUUUAAAUUUAUUAAUAUAGCA
rnacentral:lncRNA from 1 species